AGUGGAAUUGCUGGGUCAUAUGGUAAUUUUAUGCUUUUUGAGGAACUGCCAUGUUGUUUUCCACAGUAGCUGCACCAUUUUACAUUCCUGCCAGCAAU
rnacentral:pre_miRNA from 1 species